AGAGUUUGAUCAUGGCUCAGAACGAACGCUUGCUGCAUGCUUUAUACAUGCAAGUCGAACGAAGGCCCUAGCUUGCUAGGUGUCCUUAGUGGCGCACGGGUGAGUAACACGUGGGAACAUACCUCAUAGUACGGAAUAACUGCGGGAAACUGUAGCUAAUACCGUAUAUUCCAGAAAUGGGAAAGAUUUAUCGCUAUGAGAUUGGCCCGCGCAAGAUUAGCUUGUUGGUAAGGUAAUGGCUUACCAAGGCUCCGAUCUUUAGCUGGUUUGAGAGGAUGAUCAGCCACACUGGGACUGAGACACGGCCCAGACUCCUACGGGAGGCAGCAGUAGGGAAUAUUGGACAAUGGGGGAAACCCUGAUCCAGCAAUGCAGCGUGAGUGGCGAAGGCCUUAGGGUUGUAAAACUCUUUCAUCGGUGAGGAUAAUGACAGUAGCCGAAGAAGAAGGACCGGCUAAUUCCGUGCCAGCAGCCGCGGUAAUACGGAAGGUCCUAGCGUUGUUCGGAAUUACUGGGCGUAAAGCGCAUGUAGGCGGAACAAAAAGUUAGAAGUGAAAUCCCUGGGCUCAACCUAGGAAUGGCUUUUAAAACUUUUGUUCUGGAAUUCAGGAGAGGAAAAUGGAAUUUCCAGUGUAGAGGUGAAAUUCGUAGAUAUUGGAAGGAACACCAGUGGCGAAGGCGAUUUUCUGGACUGAUAUUGACGCUGAGAUGCG
rnacentral:rRNA from 1 species